UACGUAGGGUGCGAGCGUUAAUCGGAAUUACUGGGCGUAAAGCGUGCGCAGGCGGCUUUGCAAGUCAGAUGUGAAAUCCCCGGGCUUAACCUGGGAACUGCACUUGUGACUGCACGGCUAGAGUACGGUAGAGGGGGAUGGAAUUCCGCGUGUAGCAGUGAAAUGCGUAGAUAUGCGGAGGAACACCGAUGGCGAAGGCAAUCCCCUGGACCUGUACUGACGCUCAUGCACGAAAGCGUGGGGAGCAAACAGG
rnacentral:rRNA from 1 species